ACAUGAAAACAUAGGUUAUCUUGAAUGUAUUCUUUGCAUCACCAUUCUAACAAGAAAGUGAAUGGAAAUGAGUAAUAGGCACAGUCCAAAUGAUCUCCUCUUCCAAUCCAGCUACAGAGAUAGUACAAACCAGUUCCCUCGUUAUUACUGAUGGAACAAGGUAUCACAAUGAUACAUCUACACCAUGGAAUACUAUUCAGCUAUUAAAAACCAAGACAUCAUGCAGGCAAAUGAAUGGAACUUGAGAGUAUCAUCCUAAAUAAGGUAACCCUGUCCCAAAAGAACACACAUGGUAUGUACUUAUAAGUAGAUAUUUAGCCAUAAAAUACAGGCAUCAUGUUACAUUCCA